AAAGUCAAACUAACUUUAUCCAAAUAAAUCGGAAUAUAGAAAGUAAAAAACUUAAACAGUUUAAAUUAUUAUAAAAAAAUUAUAAAAUCGCUAAUAUGUUAAACCAAUAUAUUCUUCACUGCAUCCAAAAUCUAAAAAUUUAGUCAUUAUAAUCAAAUGUGCGUUCAGCAGAGAUAACGUUAUUGUUAGUGCUGUCAUUUUUAAUAUUAGACUGAUAAUAGGUUAACUCUUUCUUAUAGAUUAUAAAUAAUAACAUAAUUUUAUGUCAUGUCAUAAUGUAUUUAUUAAUAA